rnacentral:tRNA from 1 species
GGUGGCUCAAUGGUAGAAGCACUUGCCUUGCAUGCAUGAGGCCCUGGGUUCGAUUCCUCAGCACCA